rnacentral:sRNA from 2 species
UUGCUAUCUGAGAUAUGGAAGAUUCGAACCUGCCGCAGGUUCGGGUCUCACGUAGUGAGACAACGGAGCCGCUUGCGGCGACGGCCCGAAGGGCGAGCAAAGCGAGUCAUCCUGCACGACCCACCA